rnacentral:rRNA from 1 species
GACGAACGCUGGCGGCGUGCUUAACACAUGCGAGUCGAACGGAAAGGCCCUGCUUUUGUUGGGUGCUCGAGUGGCGAACGGGUGAGUAACACGUGAGUAACCUGCCCUUGACUUUGGGAUAACUUCAGGAAACUGGGGCUAAUACCGGAUAGGAGCUCCUGCUGCAUGGUGGGGGUUGGAAAGUUUCGGCGGUUGGGGAUGGACUCGCGGCUUAUCAGCUUGUUGGUGGGGUAGUGGCUUACCAAGGCUUUGACGGGUAGCCGGCCUGAGAGGGUGACCGGCCACAUUGGGACUGAGAUACGGCCCAGACUCAUACGGGAGGCAGCAGUGGGGAAUAUUGCACAAUGGGCGGAAGCCAGAGGCAGCAACGCCGCGUGCGGGAUGACGGCCUUCGGGUUGUAAACCGCUUUCGCCUGUGACGAAGCGUGAGUGACGGUAAUGGGUAAAGAAGCACCGGCUAACUACGUG